AGAGUUUGAUCCUGGCUCAGAACGAACGCUGGCGGCGUGCUUAACACAUGCAAGUCGAACGAGAAAGCUUUCUUCGGAAAGUGAGUAGAGUGGCGCACGGGUGAGUAACGCGUAGGUAAUCUAUCCUUACAUUUGGGAUAACAUCGGGAAACUGGUGCUAAUACCGAAUGGUCUUCAUUGCUUUGGGGCGAUGGAGUAAAGGUGGCCUCUUCAUGAAAGCUACCGUGUAGGGAUGAGCCUGCGUACCAUUAGCUAGUAGGUGGGGUAAUGGCCCACCUAGGCUACGAUGGUUAGCGGGUCUGAGAGGAUGAUCCGCCACACUGGAACUGAAACACGGACCAGACUCCUACGGGAGGCAGCAGUGAGGAAUAUUGCGCAAUGGGGGAAACCCUGACGCAGCGACGCCGCGUGAGUGAGGAAGGUUUUCGGAUCGUAAAGCUCUGUCAGAAGGGAAGAAGUGUUAUAUGGUUAAUACCCGUAUAAUUUGACGGUACCUUCAGAGGAAGCACCGGCUAACUCCGUGCCAGCAGCCGCGGUAAUACGGAGGGUGCAAGCGUUGUUCGGAAUUACUGGGCGUAAAGGGCGCGUAGGCGGCCUGAUAAGUCAGAUGUGAAAGUCCACGGCUCAACCGUGGAAGUGCAUUUGAAACUGUCAGGCUUGAGUAUCGGAGGGGAGUGUGGAAUUCCCGGUGUAGAGGUGAAAUUCGUAGAGAUCGGGAGGAACACCGGUGGCGAAGGCGACACUCUGGACGAAUACUGACGCUGAGGCGCGAAAGCGUGGGGAGCAAACAGGAUUAGAUACCCUGGUAGUCCACGCCGUAAACGAUGUGAACUAGGGAUAGGGGGUGUUGAUCCCUCCUGUCCCGCAGCUAACGCAUUAAGUUCACCGCCUGGGGAGUACGGUCGCAAGAUUAAAACUCAAAGGAAUUGACGGGGGCCCGCACAGCGGUGGAU
rnacentral:rRNA from 1 species